rnacentral:rRNA from 1 species
UACGAAGGGGGCUAGCGUUGUUCGGAAUUACUGGGCGUAAAGCGCACGUAGGCGGAUAUUUAAGUCAGGGGUGAAAUCCCAGAGCUCAACUCUGGAACUGCCUUUGAUACUGGGUAUCUUGAGUAUGGAAGAGGUAAGUGGAAUUGCGAGUGUAGAGGUGAAAUUCGUAGAUAUUCGCAGGAACACCAGUGGCGAAGGCGGCUUACUGGCCCGAUACUGACGCUGAGGCACGGAAAGCGUGGGGAGCAAACAGG